GAUGAACGCUGGCGGCGUGCCUAAUACAUGCAAGUCGAGCGAACAGACGAGGAGCUUGCUCCUCUGACGUUAGCGGCGGACGGGUGAGUAACACGUGGAUAACCCACCUAUAAGACUGGGAUAACUUCGGGAAACCGGAGCUAAUACCGGAUAAUACAUUGAACCGCAUGGUUCAAUAGUGAAAGACGGUUUUGCUGUCACUUAUAGAUGGAUCCGCGCCGCAUUAGCUAGUUGGUAAGGUAACGGCUUACCAAGGCAACGAUGCGUAGCCGACCUGAGAGGGUGAUCGGCCACACCGGAACUGAGACACGGUCCAGACUCCUACGGGAGGCAGCAGUAGGGAAUCUUCCGCAAUGGGCGAAAGCUUGACGGAGCAACGCCGCGUGAGUGAUGAAGGUCUUCGGAUCGUAAAACUCUGUUAUUAGGGAAGAACAAAUGUGUAAGUAACUAUGCACGUCUUGACGGUACCUAAUCAGAAAGCCACGGCUAACUACGUG
rnacentral:rRNA from 1 species